UACGUAGGGUGCAAGCGUUAAUCGGAAUUACUGGGCGUAAAGCGUGCGCAGGCGGCUUUGCAAGACAGAUGUGAAAUCCCCGGGCUUAACCUGGGAACUGCAUUUGUGACUGCAAGGCUAGAGUUUGGCAGAGGGGGGUAGAAUUCCACGUGUAGCAGUGAAAUGCGUAGAUAUGUGGAGGAACACCGAUGGCGAAGGCAGCCCCCUGGGUCAAAACUGACGCUCAUGCACGAAAGCGUGGGGAGCAAACAGG
rnacentral:rRNA from 1 species